AGCACACGACCACGCUUUCUUGCUGACCCUGACCUCAGGGGCAACAAGUUCUGGCCAAGGUGUUCUAGGCAAGUUGUUGGUUAAUAUUGUCCAGUUCGACCUGUUACCUUGUCCGAGUCCUUUAUUUUAAACCCUCCACUGUUUGAGCUUGAAAUGCGAGUCAAAGUCUGAACAUAUGCUUGUUAUGUGGCGUUGCUUCGGGAUGACAGGGUUUGAUCAGAAAGAGAAAUAUAUAAUUCUUUACGGCUGGCACCAUUAGAAUGGAGCGGUGAUGCUAGAAGAAAGCUGCAAAUCAUGAAUGACCGUCAACGACAACCUCUUGCAACAGCUGUUGCUGCCAGUGGAUGGCAAGCAGUCCCCGCCGCCGCAGUCCCGCUACUGCUGAGAGUAAGUUGGACCAUAUCUAUUAAAUAGGCUCAUUCUUCUUGUUUUAUCUGAACUACUAUGAUGGCAUGCUAAUAUUAGCUGAUUUUAAUCUGAACUACUAUGAUGGCAUGCUAAUAUUAGCUGAUUUUAAAAUUCUUAAAUAGGCUCAUUCUUGUUUCUAAUGUUCCGGUGCAG